rnacentral:hammerhead_ribozyme from 1 species
AUUCAGCUGACGAGUCCCAAACAGGACGAAACGCGCGUCCUGAAU